AAGUACAGUAUUAAAUAUAUUCUGAUCUUGAUUUGUGUUGCAGGCCAGACAGCUUAGUGGCAGAGCUGCAGGUGGCCCUUGUAAGCUUCCUGGUGGCACAGGUGUAGGACAGCUGGGAGCAGUGGAGGUGCCUGAUGGGGCGGCUGUGCCGGACAGAGGGGCUGCUGCUGCUGCUGCUGCUGCUGGGAAGAGCCACACUUGUAUGGUGGUAACACGGAGAGGAAGUGGAAGAAACCUUGGGACGCUCCCAUAACUCAGGAGCAAGAAAUACACCUUACUGGAAACCUUGUGACUGACAGGUGGCGGUGACUGCAGGAACCAAUUCAGAUGUCUGUCUUGUGCUGGCGAACGUCCUGUCUGCAGUCAGGCCAGUAGUGCUAUGUCGCAGGGUGUGACAUCAGGUGAAGAGCCAAAUGGAGAGUGUCUGCAGCCAGUACUGGGUGUGCUGAUGCUGUACAAGUGUCGAGCCAGGUGCCACAGCACAUGACUCCACCAGUGUAGUGUCUCUAGUCCAGGAUGCACUGCUGUGUACGACUUGUAUGUCUUUAUAAAUUUGUGACUAUUCUUAUUAUAUUUGUGAAAUAAGACUUGUAUGUCUUUGCUAAUAAAUAAAUAUUUGUGACUAUUCUUAUUAUAUAUGUGAAAUAAAUAUAUAGUUAGCUAACAGUGUGGUAUAAUAGUGUAAAAAUAAAUAUUUGAUAAUUCAUGCAUGCCCCAAAGGUAAAAAAAAAAAAAAAAAACAGGAUUGUGCCCUCUAAACUUUUAAGAUACCACUUGCACAUAAAAGCCCCGUCCCAGUGACUCCAGUGUCGGCUGGGAUGGGGCUUCUAUGUGCAAAUGUGAUAUCUUAAACAAAGGUUAGUAGCCAAUCCUGGCUUUUUUUUUUUUUUUUUGCCUUGAGGGCAUGACCUGUACUCCCAGAAAGACUAUUUGCCAAAG